ACCAUCCCCAGAAGUGUUUAACACAUGUUAAAUGUGAUGACACAUCCUGCAGGAAGAUGUUCUUGAAUAGAGGCAUGCUGAGAGGGAAUAAGAAACAGUAUCUACAAGACAGAUGACCAUAUGGAAAACAUGGAGAAAUGCAAGACUACUGCACGAUGAAAUCUGGACAAUUUGAAUCUUACUGGACCAUCACACCUGGAGAAAACCUGGGCACCUGUGCUGUUAGAGAAAGGCUCUAGCUGUUCUUUG